rnacentral:rRNA from 1 species
CCUACGGGAGGCAGCAGUGAGGAAUAUUGGUCAAUGGACGAGAGUCUGAACCAGCCAAGUAGCGUGAAGGAUGACUGCCCUAUGGGUUGUAAACUUCUUUUAUAUGGGAAUAAAAUGUUCCACGUGUGGGAUUUUGUAUGUACUUUAUGAAUAAGGAUCGGCUAACUCCGUGCCAGCAGCCGCGGUAAUACGGAGGAUCCGAGCGUUAUCCGGAUUUAUUGGGUUUAAAGGGAGCGUAGGUGGAUUGUUAAGUCAGUUGUGAAAGUUUGCGGCUCAACCGUAAAAUUGCAGUUGAAACUGGCAGUCUUGAGUACAGUAGAGGUGGGCGGAAUUCGUGGUGUAGCGGUGAAAUGCUUAGAUAUCACGAAGAACUCCGAUUGCGAAGGCAGUUCACUGGACUGCAACUGACACUGAGGCUCGAAAGUGUGGGUAUCAAACAGGAUUAGAUACCCCAGUAGUC